GGGGAUUUAGCUCAGUGGUAGAGCACUUGCCUAGCAAGCGCAAGGCCCUGGGUUCAAUCCCCAGCUCCG
rnacentral:tRNA from 1 species